rnacentral:tRNA from 1 species
GGAGGUAUAGCUCAGUGGUAGAGCAUGUGCUUAGCUUGCAUGAGAUCAUGGGUUCAAUCCACAGAGCCUCCA